UGAACUGCUUGGCAAACAGCCAAGCCUUCCUCAUCUAUCUCUGCCCGUGGAAAUCUCAAAGAACCCCGAGGUGGAGCCGCCGUUGUCGGGCGGGCGCCGUCGCCGAGUCUCUAACGCAUGAGUCCGACCUGGCCAGAUGCGGAACCUUUUUAUUAGCUCCACGUUGCUGUUUACUGGCAGCGAAGACUGCAAAUCUUUCUCUUCAAACUCGCAAUCUUGGGUCGUUCCUGGAUGAACGCUCCUUCAGUGAAACCGGCUCGGCCGGUUAGGGCGCACGAAAACGUUCGUUAUGUGAGCACACCGUGGAGUAACGGGGUAAAUUGAUCUCUGUGGAACGUCUGGGCGUACAUGCCGAUGGCGACGCUCCUCAGCUGGGCCGCCGGCAGGCGCUGCUUCCUUCGGAGGGAGCGGCUCGUCUGAAAACCCUUUCAACGCUAUGUGACGGUGAAUCCGACUGCAAAACCUUUCCCUCUGGCGUUACGUGUCAGCUACUGUGAGUUUAACAGCUGGUGACGGUUGCCAGGUAGAAACUAAGAGACGAAAAUGUGUUGAGCAUUAUCGAUCCGUCUCACUUGAAACGGGCGUCAAGUAAUUACGAGAGCCCUUUUCCGCAAGACAGGCGCCGAAACGAAGGCGCUGCUCUAUCUCAGAAAGCAGUUCGUUUGCCUGGCGAUUUCUGAACCCCCGGGCUACACACCCUCGACGCGGAGCGCCAGAGUCUUCUUUCUGCGUUGCGUACACGCCAUUAUAAUUUGACGGCAGGAGAUUUUUAUGGUAUCGCAAGGUGCAGUUUGGUCAAUUGGGGACUGUCCUUCUCCCUCGUUGUCUAUUGAUGGCGUACACAAGGAAAUCCGUCUUCGGUCGUGUGAGGAGCAGUGCAUGUGGCUGUGAGCCUGGUGAACACACUGCUCUAUUUCGGAAUCCAACAGCUUGCUCAUUUGCCGCAGAAAGUUGAGGCGAGAAAGACCGGACAAUCGCAGCA
rnacentral:lncRNA from 1 species